UACGGAGGGGGCGAGCGUUAUUCGGAAUCACUGGGCGUAAAGCGUGCGUAGGCGGCUUAGCAAGUCAGAAGUGAAAGCCCCGGGCUCAACCCGGGAACUGCUUUUGAAACUGCUUCGCUAGAAUAUUGGAGAGGUCAGGAGAAUUCCUAGUGUAGAGGUGAAAUUCGUAGAUAUUAGGAGGAAUACCAGUGGCGUAGGCGCCUGACUGGACAAUCAUUGACGCUGAGGUACGAAAGCGUGGGGAGCAAACAGG
rnacentral:rRNA from 1 species